rnacentral:tRNA from 1 species
AUCUAUAGCUCAGUGGCAGAGCGUUCGAUUGCAGAACAGUUG